rnacentral:lncRNA from 1 species
GAUAUAGCAGAAUAAUGGAGUGAUAGAGCAGGAAUGUGAUCGUCAGUUGCAUGAACGAUUCAAAUUCAAAUUUAAGGGCAUUUAAUGAGAAUGAAAUGGUCCCAUGAGGUAAUCAACAAUCAUGAUCCCUUUUCAUUACCACUGGCAUGGAGAUGGUGUGCAGCCAAUGGACUCUAGACAGGACGGACCUUAUCAGGUUUGAAGCCCUAUAUGACGUUCCCUUGGCCUCUAGGCCCCCUAUCUUAUACAAUGAUUUAUGUUAUCUCGAUAUAUGCUGCUAUCUUCAUAUGUGUGAUGUUGCAUAAUGUACUUCAGUGUCAUAAUUAUUGCGGCUAUCUCUUCCUGAUAAAAGAUGUCCCCCCUUUAGUGAAGGAUGUGUCACUUUCCCUAUCUCCGAUGUUAGAUACCUACCUGUUUUGUAGAUGCUUUAUAUUUUGUGUUUUGUGAUAUACAUUCCCUAAUAUGUUGUAGGCUCUAUAUUUGUAUAAUAACUUUAAUAUUUUUGUUUUUUGUUUGGUUUAUUUUCG